rnacentral:rRNA from 1 species
GACGAACGCUGGCGGCGUGCUUAACACAUGCAAGUCGAACGGUAAGGCCCUUCGGGGUACACGAGUGGCGAACGGGUGAGUAACACGUGGGUGAUCUGCCCUGCACUUCGGGAUAAGCCUGGGAAACUGGGUCUGAUACCGGAUAGGACCACUGCCUGCAUGGGUGGUGGUGGAAAGCUUUUGCGGUGUGGGAUGGGCCCGCGGCCUAUAAGCUUGUUGGUGGGGUGAUGGCCGACCAAGGCGACGACGGGUAGCCGGCCUGGGAGGGUGACCGGCCACACUGGGACGGAGAGACGGCCCGGACUCCUACGGGAGGCAGCAGUGGGGAAUAUGGCACAAUGGGCGCAAGCCUGAUGCCGCGACGCCGCGGGGGGGAUGCCGGCCUUCGGGUUGUAGACCUCUUUCAGCACCGACGAAGCGCAAGUGACGGUAGGUGCAGAAGAAGGACCGGCCAACUACGUGCCAGCCGCCGCAGUAA